rnacentral:lncRNA from 1 species
CUUCUCUCUUUCUUCAAAAUUCCGAAGACUUCUUUCAAAAGAUAGAGAGGAAACGAGAAAAAAAAAAAUUAAGCUACAGUUUUCUGCUGAAUUUAAACUCCAGUCUAAAGACACUAUGCAAAUGGCUUAUGCUAAGAGGAAAAUACCCCUUCUCCCCCGACGAGAAGUGUAGAUGCAUCCAAAACCCCUCACCGCUUGUCUCUGCUGCCAGAGGCCCAGUACGGGCACAACUUGUGGUUAUGUUUUGGCUUGUUUCUUACCUCCGGGCCUUCUUUAUAGCUCUGCCCCCCACCCCACCAGCGGCGGCGCUCCCGCGGCGGCACCCAGGCCGCCUGUUGGCUGCGGCGCCCGGCCGGCUCGGCACACUCCCCGCGCCGCGGCGCACACGCGCGCCCCCGCCUCUUCCCGCCUGGGCCGCUCCGCCGGCGGCGGAGGCGGCGGUGAUGGUGGCAGGUAGCGAGCCAGCCGGCCUCGGUCCGGUAACCCAUGGCAACCGCCCUGGAUUGUCAAACCCAAAACAGAUCCACCCACUGAGGCGGCGGAGAAAAAGCGGUUCGGCGGGUGCAGCACUCAGGAAAUGAGGUGGCAAGCUAGACACACACCUACUUUGAGACAGUGAGCCACUGCGUAAGCAUCCUGUCUGCUCCUACCAGGAGAUCAGCCUGGGAGUGGGGGUCACAGAGAAGCAUUUCACCACGAGGAAGCCAGAAAGUCAGUGACCAGGAGUAUUAGAAACAGUGACAUGAAGACACCCCCACUUUUAUUUUUUCCUUUUUUAAUUGUUGAAGUGAAAUUUACAUAACAUAAAUUAACCAUGUUAAAGUAUAAAAUUCAGUGGCAUGUAGUCCAUUCACAAUGUUGUGCGACUACCAUUUGUACCAAGUUCCGAAGUUUUUUCAUCACCCCAAAAAGAAACCCUGUACCUGGUAAGCAUUCCCUCCCCGCUUCAGCGCCUG